UAGUUCAGUUGGUUAGAACGCUACCUUGACAUGGUAGAGGUCGAAGGUUCGAGUCCUUUCGCGUCCACCA
rnacentral:tRNA from 1 species